UGAAUAAAUGAAGACCAAUAUUGGCAUAUGAUUCCUGCACCAUGAUUGUAGCUCUGGGAGACACAGAGGUCCAU